AACCUAUUAGCUCAACUGGAAGAGCAUUGUGCAAUUGCACAAAUGAUGUAGGUUCAAAUCCUACAUAGGUUG
rfam:Beta vulgaris subsp. vulgaris Bvchr2_un.sca008.con0012.1, whole genome shotgun sequence.